rnacentral:rRNA from 1 species
CAAUAGCGUAUAUUAAAGUUGUUGCAGUUAAAAAGCUCGUAGUUGGAUUUGUGGCGUACGGUGUGUUCCGGGCACUUGUUGUCUGAGUAACCUGCUGUUGCCAUCCUUGGGUGGAACCUGUGUGGCAUUAGGUUGUCGUGCAGGGGAUGCCCAUCAUUUACUGUGAAAAAAUUAGAGUGUUCAAAGCAGGCUUAUGCCGCUGAAUAUAUUAGCAUGGAAUAAUGAGAUAGGACUUUUUUGCUAUUUUGUUGGUUUGCGCAAAGAGGUAAUGAUUAAUAGGGACAGUUGGGGGUAUUCGUAUUCCAUUGUCAGAGGUGAAAUUCUUGGAUUUUUGGAAGACGAACUACUGCGAAAGCAUUUACCAAGGAUGUUUUCAUUAA